rnacentral:rRNA from 1 species
CAUUAAGUGCAGGAAAAGAAACCAAAUGGGAUUCCCCCAGUAACGGCGAGUGAAGUGGGAUGAGCUCAGCACCGAAGCCGGCGGUCGAGAGGCCGUCGUGCAAUGUGGUGUUUGGGAGGGCUCUGUCCGUGUCCGGUGUCGGUCCAAGUCUCCUGGAAAGGAGUUCCGUGGAGGGUGACAGGCCCGUGCGACCGAUUGCCGCGCUCGCGGACGAGUCCUCCUUCGAGUCGGGUUGCUCGCUAAUGCAGCCCUAAGCAGGUGGUAAGCUCCAUCUAAAGCUAAAUAUAACCACGAGUCCGAUAGUCAACAAGUACAGUGAUGGAAAGUUGAAAAGUACUCUGAAGAGAGAGUCAAAUAGCCCGUGAAGCUGCCAGUAUGGGAUUAAGCGCACGUGUGACGCGUGUCGUCGGACAAAUAGGCGCACGUCGUCUGCCGCACUGUGUUUGUCGAUAUCUUAAUUGGUGUCGAUCUAUGCGGCUGAUUGGUGGUCGGCGUCGCGCCUCCCUUUGUUCGGCAUCGACAGGUCGGGGCUUCGUUGUCCGGUCUUAUUGCCGGUCGUGAUCUUUAGAGCCGUGUCGGGCCGGCGUCGUCCUCGGACGGUGCCGGUGCUCCGUGGAAUGUGCGUUUACGCGGCCACGGCCGGCCUGGUCUUUAGUGCAAUGCGACCGAUUAGCGAACGACUGGGCGACGGCCAGCGCAAACCGACUCGCAAGAGUCGGCUCGGCCUUUGCGUCGUCACGUGCGGCCCGUCUUGAAACACGGACCAAGGAGUCUAACAUGUGAGCGAGCGAUUGAGAUUGUCGAAUCUCAAACGCGCAAUGAAAGUGAAGUGUCGUCUGACGGCACGAGCGGAGAUCCGUCGUCACUCGUGGCGGCGGCGCACCCGCGGGCCACGCCAUCGGCUGGCUUGCUUUUCGGAGCACUGCUGAGGCGUGGACCUAGAGCCCACACGUUGGGACCCGAAAGAUGGUGAACUAUGCCUGGCCAGGAUGAAGCCAGAGGAAACUCUGGUGGAGGUCCGCCGCGAUUCUGACGUGCAAAUCGAUCGUCUGAGCUGGGUAUAGGGGCGAAAGACCAAUCGAACCAUCUAGUAGCUGGUUCCGCCCGAAGUUUCCCUCAGGAUAGCUGGCGCUCGUGUGAUACGGAGUUUCAUCCGGUAAAGCGAAUGAUCAGAGGAGCUGGGCUCCCUGCGAGCUCAACCUAUUCUCAAACUUUCAAUGGGUGAGACGUCUCGCUGGCUUCACUGCAGCGACGACUCUGAAUCCGAGUGCCCAGUGGGCCACUUUUGGUAAGCAGAACUGGCGAUGCGGGAUGAACCGCAUGUCGAGUUAAGGUGCCUAAGCGGACGCAAAUCAGAUACCAUGAAAGGUGUUGAUUGCUCACGACAGCAGGACGGUGGCCAUGGAAGUCGGCAUCCGCUAAGGAGUGUGUAACAACUCACCUGCCGAAGCAAUCAGCCCUGAAAAUGGAUGGCGCUAAAGCGUUCCACCGAUACUCGACCGUCGUCGGCAGGCGAAUUCCUUGUGGAUUCUCAAGCCACGACGAGUAGGGCGGCGCGGUGGUGAGCGUCGAAGGCGUAGCCGUGAGGCUAGCUGGAGCCGCCAUCGGUGCAGAUCUUGGUGGUAGUAGCAAAUACACAAGCAAGAUCCUUGUGGACCGAUGUGGAGAAGGGUUCCGCGCGAACAGUACUUGGACGUGGGUGAGUCGGCCCUAAGCCAACGGGUAAUUCCCGCAUCCCGUGUUCACCGUUUCUGAAUCGAACAACAUGGGUUGAU